rnacentral:tRNA from 1 species
GCGGGCUUAGCUCAGUUGGUAGAGCAUCAGCCUUCCAAGCUGAAUGUCAUGGGUUCGAGUCCCAUAGCCCGCUCCA